rnacentral:rRNA from 1 species
UACCCUAUUAUAGUAAGUAUUAAUUUUUUUCCUGGUUAGUAUUAGUUAGUUCUUGAAAUCUAAAUAAUUUGGCGGUAUUUUAUUCUUUUCAGAGGAACCUGUUCUUUAAUUGAUAAUCCACGAUUUUAUUUACUUAGGUUUGUAUUCAGUUUUUAUAUUUCCGUCAUAAGGAUAUUUUUGUAGAAUUAAUUUUCUUGAUUAUUUAAAAAUAAGAAUGUCAGGUCAAGAUGAAAUUGAUGUUUAAGUAGUAAUGGGUUACAAUAAAUUUAUUUAUAUGGAUUUUUAAUUUUAUGAUUAUUUUGAAGGUGGAUUUGAUAGUAAAUAGAUUUAUUAAUUUUGUUGAUUUUAGUUCUAAAUUAUGUACACAUCGCC